UACGAAGGGGGGCUAGCGUUGCUCGGAAUUACUGGGCGUAAAGGGCGCGUAGGCGGCACUGUUAGUCAGGCGUGAAAGUCCUGGGCUCAACCUGGGAACUGCGCUUGAUACGGCAGAGCUAGAGGAUGGAAGAGGCUCGCGGAAUUCCCAGUGUAGAGGUGAAAUUCGUAGAUAGUUGGGAAGAACACCGGUGGCGAAGGCGGCGAGCUGGUCCAUUACUGACGCUGAGGCGCGACAGCGUGGGGAGCAAACAGG
rnacentral:rRNA from 1 species